rnacentral:ncRNA from 2 species
GCCUGCUGGGGUGGAACCUGGUCU